AGAGUUUGAUCCUGGCUCAGGAUGAACGCUAGCGGCAAGCUUAACACAUGCAAGUCGAACGGUAACUUUUAGUGCUUGCACUGAAAGACGAGUGGCGGACGGGUGCGUAACGUGUAUGCAAUCUACCUUUUACUAGGGUAUAGCCCAGAGAAAUUUGGAUUAAUCCCCUAUAAUAUCAUGAAAUCGCAUGGUUUUAUGAUUAAAGCUUCGGCGGUAGAAGAUGAGCAUGCAUCCUAUUAGUUUGUAGGUGAGGUAACGGCUCACCUAGACUACGAUAGGUAGGGGCCCUGAGAGGGGGAUCCCCCACACUGGUACUGAGACACGGACCAGACUCCUACGGGAGGCAGCAGUGAGGAAUAUUGGACAAUGGACGAAAGUCUGAUCCAGCUAUGCCGCGUGCAGGAUGACAGCCCUACGGGUUGUAAACUGCUUUUAUACAGGAAGAAAAACCCCGACGUGUCGGGGCUUGACGGUACUGUAAGAAUAAGGAUCGGCUAACUCCGUGCCAGCCGCCGCGGU
rnacentral:rRNA from 1 species